rnacentral:lncRNA from 1 species
AGCCCUCAGCGUACAUGCCAGCUAAUUACAGAUGCAGGAGCAAACCCCUGGCCCAUACAUCAAUUUUAAUGUCAUUGAAUACAGAGAACAAAUCUCAUUCACUUUGGUAUCGGCUGGAGUCAACAAACAUUUAAAAAUCAUUUACUGCGUCUGAUUUUGGAUGAGGAAAUUAACUGAGAAAGAAGAUACAAGACCUGCCAAAUUCUUUUUUUUUGUUUUGUUUGAGACAGAGUCUCACUCUGUCGCCCAGGCUGUAGUGGCGCGAUCUCGACUCACUGCAACCUCCACCUCCUCGGUUCAAGCGAUUCUCCUGCCUCAGCCUCCUGAGUAGCUGGGCUUACAGGCAUGCGCCACCAUGCCCAGCUAAUUUUUGUAUUUUUAAUAGAGACGGGGUUUUGCCACACUGGCCAGGCUAGUCUCGAACCCCUGACCUCAGGUGAUCUACCCACCUUGGCCUCCCAAAGUGCUGGGAUUACAGAAGUGAGCCACUGUGCCCAGCCUGACCUGUCAAAUUCCUGUCAAACUCAACUUCAUGUAACACUGAACUGUAACUAUCAAGUUAGAAUAUUUUUUUCAUUUGUUUGCAUAUAUAUAGACUUCAUUAAUCUUAAUUUAGUGAUCUCAGUUAAGAAGCAAUCUGAAAUAUGUUUUGCUUUCACUUUUGGAAAAAAGUCUGAAAUAGAAGUAAAUA